GGGAAAGCCGACAGUGACAGGUGUUACCCAGCUCCCACGCAGCUGGAAAGGCUGGUCUCACUGUCAGCAUGCUCCCCCAACAGCAUCAAGUUUAUUUCCAGGCAGCAGGCGAGCAGGGCUGAGAACUUGUCCCAGGCUACAAGCCUCCCUGCUGACAACAGAAGCAGGGCUUUCAGGUUUUAUGCCUCUCUGCCUGCCACAGCUUCUGUGCUUGUAUCUGCACUCCCUGUUUGACCCCCUCCCCAGAUUCUGUCCAGGAAACUUCAUGUUCGGUAGAAAUUGUUAUAAAAUUCAACUGGAAGUUUUCCUCUCCCUCUGGUUUUUCCUCAAUUCCACUGGCAGCCCUCCCCAAGUUGCAAGAUAAAGACAGAAAAGGCUUCCCUGAGGACUGAGAGUGCCCACAGGGCUCUUGCUGCUGCUUUCUCUACCCCUAUAUUUUGUGCGGCUCUCAGCAUUUGUCUCAGCUCCAGGGAGAAGAGAAGGAAAAGCAGAUGAGUGAACAAGGGCAGAUGGUGCUGGAGAAUUCCAUCAAGUGGGCAUCAAGAAGGGACUGGAGGUUAAAACCUUUGGGAUAAAGAAGAAGAAAAAAAGACAAGCUGGUAAAAAGUAAGGUCUGGGGGGUGGAGGCAAGAAGGGGAGUUGCUAAAAACUCUAGAAUAAGCAGUAAGACAUCUUUCAAUAAAACUGCCCCUUCCCAGAUGGCACCUGGGCACUGUUUGCUGGGCACAAACAUGGCACUGUUUCCUAGGAGAUGAUUCCUCCAGUUCUUUAAGGUAGUAAUGAAUGACAACAAGAAGUUACUUCUCUAUGCUACACACGGUGUAGAAUCCAGAGCCUGACUGGCUGUGACGCGCCCAUGGUGACACCAAGGGGACUCUGCAUGGGCACAUCCCGGCCCUCCUCCCUGCAUGUUCUCCAAGCCAGGUCUUUGAAACCUCCAGUGAUGGGAAUGACAGAAUCUGGGAUGAUUUUCUUCUGUUUCUUAUCUAAAAAAACAACAAAAAGCUCAGCAUACACGGACUCACACAAACCUUUUGCUAGAGGCAGCUCUGUAGACUUAAGACGCUGUCAUUUUUCAGAAGAACCCAGCUUGCUUUGGAACUACAGUCAGCCCUGCAACCCACCCUCACCUUGGACCCUGCUGCUGCUGUCUGUAAAGACAAUGCUGCGAUGAAUACACCUGUGCAUUCUUUUUUAGAACAAGUGUAAGAAUUCCUAUGUGGCUGGACGGUACUGCUGCCAUCUCGGCUCACUGCAACCUCC
rnacentral:lncRNA from 1 species